rnacentral:rRNA from 1 species
GACGAACCGUCCAAACGUUAUUCGGAAUCACUGGGCUUAAAGGGCGCGUAGGCGGGCUAUCAAGUCCGGGGUGAAAUCCUCUAGCUUAACUAGAGAACGGCCUCGGAUACUGAUGGUCUCGAGGAAGAUAGGGGCAUGCGGAACUGGUGGUGGAGCGGUGAAAUGCGUUGAUAUCACUAGGAACUCCGGUGGCGAAGGCGGCAUGCUGGAUCUUUUCUGACGCUGAGGCGCGAAAGCCAGGGGAGCGAACGGG